CCUACGGGAGGCAGCAGUGAGGAAUAUUGGUCAAUGGGCGGAAGCCUGAACCAGCCAAGUAGCGUGCAGGAUGACGGCCCUACGGGUUGUAAACUGCUUUUAUACGGGAAUAACGCGCCUUACGUGUAGGGCUUUGCAUGUACCGUUUGAAUAAGGACCGGCCAAUUCCGUGCCAGAAGCCGGGGUAAUACGGAAGGUCCGGGCGUUAUCCGGAUUUAUUGGGUUUAAAGGGAGUGUAGGCGGCAUGUCAAGCGUGCUGUGAAAUGUCCGGGUUCAACCCGGGCCUUGCAGCGCGAACUGGCGUGCUUGAGUCCGCGGAAAGCAGGCGGAAGUCGUCGUGUAGCGGUGAAAUGCUUAGAUAUGACGAAGAACCCCGAUUGCGAAGGCAGCUUGCUGCAGCGGAACUGACGCUGAUGCUCGAAAGCGCGGGUAUCGAACAGGAUUAGAUACCCUGGUAGUC
rnacentral:rRNA from 1 species